GGAGUGGCGCAGUGGUUAGCAUGCUGGGCUCAUAACCCAAAGGUCCAUGGAUCGAAACCA
rnacentral:tRNA from 16 species